UUCCAGCCCACUGCUGCUGUAGCAUGUGCCUGGGCAGAAUGUGGGAUCCAGAGAAGUGUGUGUUUUAGGAGAAAUUGACUUUCCAAUUAUUUUGUUUUUGCUUUUUGAGACAAGGCCUCUUUCUGUCAUCCAGGCUGGAGUGCAGUGGUGCAAUCAUAGUUCACUGAAGCCUUGAAUUCCUGAGCUCACAAGAUCCUCCUGCGGCAGCCUCCCUCCAAAGUAGCUGGGAUUACAGGGAGAGGUCUGCUGAGUUCCUCACAUAGCCAUCUCAGACAGGCCACGCAUAACUCUUGUGGUGAACUGAUAUGAGCACAAAAGAAGGCCACGUGGCCUGUUGCUCCAUGAAAGAGCCGUAUCCACAAAGCAACCUCCAAAUGCUGAAGGAGCCAACCAACCAGAGGAGGAGGCAGACAAAUCCAGUUGGUCAGCAUGGGAUGAUUUACUGGGUAAAUUUACAGAUAGAAAAGCAUGGUCUUGGGGGGCUGCAGACAUGUAGAUCUCUG
rnacentral:lncRNA from 10 species